rnacentral:misc_RNA from 1 species
GAUGAAGAACGUAGCGAAAUGCGAUAAGUAAUGUGAAUUGCAGAAUUCAGUGAAUCAUCGAAUCUUUGAACGCACAUUGCGCCCGCUAGUAUUCUGGCGGGCAUGCCUGUCCGAGCGUCAUUUCAACCCUCAAGCCCCCGGGCUUGGUGUUGGGGAUCGGCGAGCCUCCGCGCCCGCCGUCCCCUAAAUCUAGUGGCGGUCUCGCUGUAGCUUCCUCUGCGUAGUAGCACACCUCGCACUGGGAAACAGCGCGGCCACGCCGUUAAACCCCCAACUUCUGAACGUUUGAUCUCGGAUCAGGUAGGAAUACCCGCUGAACUUAAGCAUAUCAAUAAGCGGAGGA